GACGAACGCUGGCGGCGUGCCUAAUACAUGCAAGUUGAGCGCUGAAGGUUGGUACUUGUACCAACUGGAUGAGCAGCGAACGGGUGAGUAACGCGUGGGGAAUCUGCCUUUGAGCGGGGGACAACAUUUGGAAACGAAUGCUAAUACCGCAUAAAAACUUUAAACACAAGUUUUAAGUUUGAAAGAUGCAAUUGCAACACUCAAAGAUGAUCCCGCGUUGUAUUAGCUAGUUGGUGAGGUAAAGGCUCACCAAGGCGAUGAUACAUAGCCGACCUGAGAGGGUGAUCGGCCACAUUGGGACUGAGACACGGCCCAAACUCCUACGGGAGGCAGCAGUAGGGAAUCUUCGGCAAUGGACGAAAGUCUGACCGAGCAACGCCGCGUGAGGGAAGAAGGGUUUCGGAUCGUAAAACUCUGUUGGUAGAGAAGAACGUUGGUGAGAGUGGAAAGCUCAUCAAGUGACGGUAACUACACAGAAAGGGACGGCUAACUACGUG
rnacentral:rRNA from 1 species